rnacentral:rRNA from 1 species
AGAGUUUGAUCAUGGCUCAGAUUGAACGCUGGCGGCAGGCCUAACACAUGCAAGUCGAGCGGUAGCACAGAGAGCUUGCUCUCGGGUGACGAGCGGCGGACGGGUGAGUAAUGUCUGGGAAACUGCCUGAUGGAGGGGGAUAACUACUGGAAACGGUAGCUAAUACCGCAUAACGUCGCAAGACCAAAGUGGGGGACCUUCGGGCCUCAUGCCAUCAGAUGUGCCCAGAUGGGAUUAGCUAGUAGGUGGGGUAACGGCUCACCUAGGCGACGAUCCCUAGCUGGUCUGAGAGGAUGACCAGCCACACUGGAACUGAGACACGGUCCAGACUCCUACGGGAGGCAGCAGUGGGGAAUAUUGCACAAUGGGCGCAAGCCUGAUGCAGCCAUGCCGCGUGUAUGAAGAAGGCCUUCGGGUUGUAAAGUACUUUCAGCGGGGAGGAAGGCGAUAAGGUUAAUAACCUUGUCGAUUGACGUUACCCGCAGAAGAAGCACCGGCUAACUCCGUGCCAGCAGCCGCGGUAAUACGGAGGGUGCAAGCGUUAAUCGGAAUUACUGGGCGUAAAGCGCACGCAGGCGGUCUGUCAAGUCGGAUGUGAAAUCCCCGGGCUCAACCUGGGAACUGCAUUCGAAACUGGCAGGCUAGAGUCUUGUAGAGGGGGGUAGAAUUCCAGGUGUAGCGGUGAAAUGCGUAGAGAUCUGGAGGAAUACCGGUGGCGAAGGCGGCCCCCUGGACAAAGACUGACGCUCAGGUGCGAAAGCGUGGGGAGCAAACAGGAUUAGAUACCCUGGUAGUCCACGCCGUAAACGAUGUCGAUUUGGAGGUUGUGCCCUUGAGGCGUGGCUUCCGGAGCUAACGCGUUAAAUCGACCGCCUGGGGAGUACGGCCGCAAGGUUAAAACUCAAAUGAAUUGACGGGGGCCCGCACAAGCGGUGGAGCAUGUGGUUUAAUUCGAUGCAACGCGAAGAACCUUACCUGGUCUUGACAUCCACAGAACUUAGCAGAGAUGCUUUGGUGCCUUCGGGAACUGUGAGACAGGUGCUGCAUGGCUGUCGUCAGCUCGUGUUGUGAAAUGUUGGGUUAAGUCCCGCAACGAGCGCAACCCUUAUCCUUUGUUGCCAGCGGUCCGGCCGGGAACUCAAAGGAGACUGCCAGUGAUAAACUGGAGGAAGGUGGGGAUGACGUCAAGUCAUCAUGGCCCUUACGACCAGGGCUACACACGUGCUACAAUGGCAUAUACAAAGAGAAGCGACCUCGCGAGAGCAAGCGGACCUCAUAAAGUAUGUCGUAGUCCGGAUUGGAGUCUGCAACUCGACUCCAUGAAGUCGGAAUCGCUAGUAAUCGUAGAUCAGAAUGCUACGGUGAAUACGUUCCCGGGCCUUGUACACACCGCCCGUCACACCAUGGGAGUGGGUUGCAAAAGAAGUAGGUAGCUUAACCUUCGGGAGGGCGCUUACCACUUUGUGAUUCAUGACUGGGGUGAAGUCGUAACAAGGUAACCGUAGGGGAACCUGCGGUUG